CCUACGGGAGGCAGCAGUGAGGAAUAUUGGUCAAUGGCCGGAAGGCUGAACCAGCCAUGCCGCGUGAAGGUCAGUGCCCUAUGGGCGUUAAACUUCUUUUGUGCGGGAGCAAUAAUGGUCACGUGUGGCCAGACGAGAGUACCGUACGAAUAAGCAUCGGCUAACUCCGUGCCAGCAGCCGCGGUAAUACGGGGGAUGCAAGCGUUAUCCGGAUUUAUUGGGGUUAAAGGGUGCGUAGGCUGUGAGGUAAGUCAGCGGUGAAAUGCCCCCGCUCAACGGGGUGAAGUGCCAUUGAUACUGCCUUGCUGGAAUGCGGAUGCCGUGGGAGGAAUGUGUGGUGUAGCGGUGAAAUGCAUAGAUAUCACACAGAACACCGAUUGCCAAGGCAUCUCACGAAUCCGCGAUUGACGCUGAUGCACGAAAGCGUGGGUAUCAAACAGGAUUAGAUACCCGUGUAGUC
rnacentral:rRNA from 1 species